CUUUAGGAACAAUAUGAGCUUUUUUUCCCAUAGAUUUUAUUUUUACACAUUCUUAUGACAUUUCCCUUUGCAGGGACAGGAGGUUAUUAGCAAGAUCAGCUUUUUUAGAUGAUUCCAUUCUAAAUAUACAUUUUAAGCAAACAACAUCAAAACAACCAGUGUGAAGGUGAAAAACAUUCCAUUAACACUGUUUGUCUACACAACAAUAAAUGUGAAAAGACUGGUUGUAUCCUCACUCUAUCCCACCACACAGUUGACUACUCCUGUCUCCAGAGUAACUGGUUUUAAAGGACAUGAUGCUGUGGGGUGACCUAUCACAGUGUCAAGGGCAUGCCUUGCUCCUGGGUAUUCCAGAGACUUAGUAACCAAUGACAGCUCAUGACUCCAAGUUGGUAAACACUCUUGGCAGGCUACAUCUUGAAGAUACGCAUUCAACAUGGAGAUAAAAAUGAAGAUCUAAGAUUUUUUUUUCACUGUAGGUGGAUCAUCCUGAAAGCUGUGCUGCAUUUAGCCUCCGCUUAGCGAUUAGGAAAAGGCACUCCCCCUAAGCUACCUGCUGCAGCCAUUCCUGGGAGCUGAGAUAGGUCCGAGGGCCAUCAGUGUGAAACCCAGAGAAGAGACCCUCAAAUUCCAUAACAGCACCCCUCCCAUUAUCGUAACCUACCUGAGGAUGACAGUACCUCAGGUCCUUAUUCCUCAGUGCACUCCUGGCAGUUAGUUCUAUGCUACUGUGUUAAAGGCAGCUUAGACAGCAUUAUGUGGAAGAAACUAGUUUGGGUUAAAAUACUCCUGUGUUGUUAGAGAUACUAUUUUUUACGUGAUGCUAUACCUUUAAAGAUGAAUGCUUUAAAAACAAUACCCUUGUGUGAAAUAAAACAAAGCAAUGGAACACAUCCAUUCUAGUAUCUUAAACUCAGUGGUGUAGAGCUGCAGGUCCACACUUUGUUGCCCAGGGGAGUGGGGGCUCUGUCUUCCUCUGGGGCCCUCCUGGUGCUUCAGGCCUAGGUGGCAGGAGAGGCACCCAGUUCCCUC
rnacentral:lncRNA from 1 species